CCUACGGGGCGCAGCAGUGAGGAAUAUUGGUCAAUGGACGAGAGUCUGAACCAGCCAAGUAGCGUGAAGGAUGACUGCCCUAUGGGUUGUAAACUUCUUUUAUAUGGGAAUAAAACGUUCCACGUGUGGGAUUUUGUAUGUACCAUAUGAAUAAGGAUCGGCUAACUCCGUGCCAGCAGCCGCGGUAAUACGGAGGAUCCGAGCGUUAUCCGGAUUUAUUGGGUUUAAAGGGAGCGUAGGUGGAUUGAUAAGUCAGUUGUGAAAGUUUGCGGCUCAACCGUAAAAUUGCAGUUGAAACUGGCAGUCUUGAGUACAGUAGAGGUGGGCGGAAUUCGUGGUGUAGCGGUGAAAUGCUUAGAUAUCACGAAGAACUCCGAUUGCGAAGGCAGUUCACUGGACUGCAACUGACACUGAGGCUCGAAAGUGUGGGUAUCAAACAGGAUUAGAUACCCCAGUAGUC
rnacentral:rRNA from 1 species